AUGAUGAUGGACCGUUUUUUUUUUUUGAGAAACUAACGAUGAUGGACCUGGCAUAGGCCGCUUGCUAGGGCUGGAGGGUGGCGUUGAUGUACCCAGGUGGGGAAAGAAGCAACAUAAAUUUUACCUUGUCUAUUGUGCCCAUCGAUCAACCUAGAUUUUUCUCUCAACAUAUUUGUGGGCACCAAUUAGGAGUUCUUGCUGCCAGUCAUGCAUGCAGGCCUCACCUGGCCAAGGCAGGUAACAGCUGGCAAGUGCUGCUAGCUAAAACCGCAUGGUAUGGCCGGCCAAUCUCUUUAAGCCGGCGGCAGGAGGAUUGAGAGGCGUCGAUGGCUGCUGGUGCCGGUGGCGGCAGCCAUACGGCCGGGCGAGAGAAAGGACGGGGACAGGACGGGGACAUGAGGGAUAGAUGGCUGUGUUUUGGUAUCAGAUCGGACGUGAGGCUUUGGUAUCAGACCGUGAGGCUUUGGUAUCAGGUCGGACGUGAGGCAAAGCCUAUUCUCAAAUAUAACAGAAUCUUAACCACCGAAUAUUAGAUUUUACGGUCAAAAUAAUUGAGGUGAUGUAGAUCAACGUGGAGUCUCCCCUCGGUACCCCUCAUAUUGUU
rnacentral:lncRNA from 1 species